rnacentral:rRNA from 1 species
AUAGAGUUUGAUUUAUUCUUAAAAGUUGGUUUUAUUUAAUAGUUAUAUGAAUUAUAUUAAAUUAUUAAUUAUUCAGUAAUUAGUAUUUUUAUAUUAGAUUAUUCUAGUUUAGAUAUAAAUAUAUUUUUGAUUAAAAUUGUGCCAGCAUUCGCGGUUAUACAAUUAAAAAAAAUUAAUUUUUUAAAUUUAAAUUUUUAAUAAAUGAACUUAAAUUUUAAUUGUAUAAAGGUGGAAUUUUUAUUUAUUAAUAAUUUCUUAUUUGAAUUUUCAAUUAAUCUUUAUUUUAAACUAGGAUUAGAUACCCUAUUAUUAAUUACUUAAUUAUAAUUAAUUUUAACAUUAAUAGUUAUUUUCUAUAAAAUUUGAAUAAUUUGGCGGUAGUUUAAUAUUAGGGGAACCUGUUUCUUAAUUGAUACACCACGAUUUUUUUUACUUAAGAAUUUUUUGUAUAUCUCUAUAAUUAGUAAUUUUCUAUAAGGAUUUUUUAUUUUUUUUAUUAAUAUUAAUAUUAGGUCAAGGUGCAGGUAUUUCUUAAGUUGACAUGGGUUACAUAAAUUUUAAAUUUAUUUGGAUGAUUUAUGAUUGAUUUAAUUUGAAAUAGGAUUUAAUAGUAAAUUUAUUAAUUUUUUAAUUUGAAAAUAUACUUAAAUUAUGUACAUAUUGCCCGUCGCUCUCAUUUAACUGAGAUAAGUCGUAACAAAGUAAUUUUACUGGAAAGUGAAGUUAGAAUA